GAUGAACGCUGGCGGCGUGCCUAAUACAUGCAAGUCGAGCGAACAGACGAGGAGCUUGCUCCUCUGACGUUAGCGGCGGACGGGUGAGUAACACGUGGAUAACCUACCUAUAAGACUGGGAUAACUUCGGGAAACCGGAGCUAAUACCGGAUAAUAUAUUGAACCGCAUGGUUCAAUAGUGAAAGACGGUUGUGCUGUCACUUAUAGAUGGAUCCGCGCCGCAUUAGCUAGUUGGUAAGGUAACGGCUUACCAAGGCAACGAUGCGUAGCCGACCUGCGAGGGUGAGCGGCCACACUGGAACUGAGACACGGUACAGACUCCUACGGGAGGCAGCAGUAGGGAAUCUUCCGCAAUGGGCGAAAGCUUGACGGAGCAACGCCGCGUGAGUGAUGAAGGUCUUCGGAUCGUAAAACUCUGUUAUUAGGGAAGAACAAAUGUGUAAGUAACUAUGCACGUCUUGACGGUACCUAAUCAGAAAGCCACGGCUAACUACGUG
rnacentral:rRNA from 1 species